rnacentral:lncRNA from 1 species
CACAAAUCUUCAUUUGGUUACCCUUGUGCAGCAGAUGUUUGCCUUUUCACUCUUCCCAUCUGGAAGUGAGAUGUUGGGCUUUUCAAUGUUUUGCUUUGUUUUUAUAGGGAGGUGGGUGACAAGCACACAGAGUUCACUGCUAAACUACUGCAAACAAGUGGAUCAGAAACAGAAUUGGAGCUAUUUUAUCUGGACCUAAUUAAACAACCUUCAUUACUGGCAGGUAUGUGUUUGUGAUGACUAGAAAUUAGCUUGAUUGGAAUUAAAACUCCAAAUAUAAGGCAUUGAAAUUGCUUGUUUUUUAAAAAUAAAUGGUUUAAAAAUAUAUCUGUGAAGUAUAUA